rnacentral:lncRNA from 1 species
UAAUAUCCCCCUUCACCAAGAUCACCAGCACAGGACAAGAUCACGAAGAGAAAGAGAGGAUUAAGAUGUCACACUAACCAUUAACUCGAUACCUGAAGCGAGAAUAACCAUUAUGUCCCAUUAAUAAUAGCUGUAGUAAUGGGGAGUUAUCAUUGACAGUUGUGUACCGUUCAGACAGCACAGCCUUCACGCACAUACAGUGGUGGUGGUGCUGGCGGUGGUGUUUUGGUGUUUACUGCUCAGUCUAUCUACACACCCAGACGCAUUCACGCACAGCCAUAGAUACUCAAUACACACUCAAACGCACACAGAACCAAGCUAAAUACACACACACACACACAAUGAAGUGAAGUGUUACCAUAUUCCCAGGCAGUUUUUAGCAGCACAAGCGGCAAGACAAGAGUGAACCAGCAGUGCAAGGCAAGCCACCAUGACCUGCAGCCUUCACCACACCCCUCCUUCACUUACUCAAGGCUCAGGCGUGUAGAUGGAAGCAGUAAAAGGAAGGAAAAA